rnacentral:rRNA from 1 species
AUUGAACGCUGGCGGCAGGCCUACACAUGCAAGUCGAGCGGAAGAAGGGAGCUUGCUCCUGGACUCAGCGGCGGACGGGUGAGUAAUGCCUAGGAAUCUGCCUGGUCGUGGGGGAUAACGUCCGGAAACGGGCGCUGAUACCGCAUCCGUCCUGAAGGUGAAAGCGGGGGGUCUUCGGACCUAACGCUAUCAGAUGAGCCUAGGUCGGAUUAGCUAGUUGGUGAGGUAAAGGCUUACCAAGGCGACGAUCCGUAGCUGGCCUGAGAGGAUGAUCAGUCACACUGGAACUGAGACACGGUCCAGACUCCUACGGGAGGCAGCAGUAGGGAAUAUUGCGCAAUGGGCGAAAGCCUGACCCAGCCAUGCCGCGUGUGUGAAGAAGGUCUUCGGAUUGUAAAGCACUUUUAGUUGGGAAGAAGGGCAGUAAGUGAAUAUCUGGCUGUUUUGACGUUACCAACACAAUAAGCACCGGCUAACUUCGUG